rnacentral:rRNA from 1 species
UACGUAGGUGACAAGCGUUGUCCGGAAUUACUGGGCGUAAAGCGCGCGUAGGCGGCUUUGUAAGUUAGAGGUGAAAGCCCGGGGCUCAACCCCGGAACUGCCUUUAAGACUGCAUCGCUUGAAUCCGGGAGAGGUGAGUGGAAUUCCGAGUGUAGAGGUGAAAUUCGUAGAUAUUCGGAAGAACACCAGUGGCGAAGGCGGCUCACUGGACCGGUAUUGACGCUGAGGUGCGAAAGCGUGGGGAGCAAACAGG